GUGUCAGCAGCCGCGGUAAUACGUAGGUGGCAAGCGUUGUCCGGAAUUAUUGGGCGUAAAGCGCGCGCAGGCGGGUGUUUAAGUCUAUCUUAAAAGUGCGGAGCUCAACUCCGUGAUGGGGUAGAAACUGGACAUCUUGAGUGUCGGAGAGGAAAGUGGAAUUCCCAGUGUAGCGGUGAAAUGCGUAGAUAUUGGGAGGAACACCAGUGGCGAAGGCGACUUUCUGGACGAUGUCUGACGCUGAGGCGCGAAAGCCAGGGUAGUGAACGGGAUUAGAUACCCCGGUAAUCCUGGCCGUAAACGAUGGGUACUAGGUGUAGAGGGUAUCGACCCCUUCUGUGCCGGAGUUAACGCAAUAAGUACCCCGCCUGGGGAGUACGGCCGCAAGGUUGAA
rnacentral:rRNA from 1 species